UACGGAGGGUGCGAGCGUUGUCCGGAAUCAUUGGGCGUAAAGGGCGCGUAGGUGGCCCGGUCAGUCUUUGGUGAAAGCGCGGGGCUCAACCCUGCGUCGGCCAGGGAUACUGCCGCGGCUCAAGCACUGUAGAGGCAGGCGGAAUUCCGGGUGUAGCGGUGGAAUGCGUAGAGAUCCGGAAGAACACCGGUGGCGAAGGCGGCCUGCUGGGCAGUUUUGCUGACACUGAGGCGCGACAGCGUGGGGAGCAAACAGG
rnacentral:rRNA from 1 species